CUCUCUCCUUUAUAGUCUGUCACCAGAUUCCAGCCCUUUAAAUCCCGCUGUCUCCUGAGGAGUCCACAAGGCGGUGACUCAGAAGUUUGAACCAUGUUGUCCUCACCACACCUCACACCCUGGCUUCCACUCGUCUGGCCUGGCUGCCGCCUGGUCUGCAAAGCCUGCAGCGCCCUUUCCCCUGCAUCCUGGGCACAGGACUUCUCUCUUCCGCAGCCCCUGCUUGGGGCUCUUCUUCGUGCGGUCACCUUCCUUAACAUAUAGCCACUGGCUAUCCAUGGAAACCACGAAAACUUGAAAAUGGCUUCAGCACAUGGACACCAAGCCCCCUGCAUUAAAAGAUAAGCC
rnacentral:lncRNA from 1 species